rnacentral:rRNA from 1 species
CCUACGGGUGGCAGCAGUGGGGAAUUUUCCGCAAUGGGCGCAAGCCUGACGGAGCAAUACCGCGUGAGGGAGGAAGGCUUUUGGGUCGUAAACCUCUUUUAUUGGGGAAGAAGUUCUGACGGUACCCAAUGAAUCAGCAUCGGCUAACUCCGUGCCAGCAGCCGCGGUAAUACGGAGGAUGCAAGCGUUAUCCGGAAUUAUUGGGCGUAAAGCGUCCGCAGGUGGUUUAACAAGUCUGCUGUCAAAGCGUGCGGCUUAACCGCAUAUCGGCAGUGGAAAC